rnacentral:lncRNA from 1 species
CUCUCUCCCCACAAGAUGCCCUGUGCUGUCAUGAGACUCUGCAGUGUCCCUACCAGCAGGAAGGCUCUCCCCAAAUGCAGCCCCUUGACCCUGGACUUCCCAGCCUCCAGAACUUGAGAAGAGGAACAAAUGGAGGAACAUCCCAGUCAAGUGACAUUCCUAGUGACAUUCACCAGAACAGAGUCAAGCUUUGGAUCCCAUGUUCUGUGACUUCCUCUUCACCACGCUUCCUCCACACACGUAGCAGCUCAAGGGUUUCUGAUGAGUGGGGUCUAUGUUCCCUUUAUGAGCUGUAACGCACACCAUGAAGGUCUGCGGCUUGGCUAUUGAGUCAGUGAGAGCGUGAACCUACUAUUAGAAGAAAAACUCUGAAUACGUCUGAACGUCAGAAAGAACGAAGUUUGGACACAUUGUCUUUAAGAACUGUAACACUCACCCCAAGGGUUUAUGGAUUCAUUCUUGAAAUCAGUGAAACCAAAAGCUUUCCAAAGUUUAACACACAGGGAAAUGACUUACUGCAAAGAACCACUCUUCCCCACGAGACUUCGAGAAGACCCGCUGUCACGGACUGAGUUGUGUCCUCUUAAAAUUCAGAUGUUGGAGUCCAAACCCCCAGUAACUCAGAGUGUGAACGUAUUUGAAGAGGUCUUUAAAGAGGUGAUGAAGGGAGAGAGACCCCAUGAGCUCGUCAAGCUCCUUCUGUGACUGAUCAGAGAUCCCACCGUGAGUCCAGCUCCUGGUCCCAUGCUCUGGAUAUAUCGGUCCCUGGCAGCGUGGCUCCAUCUCCGUAGCCUGCUUUUGACAAAAGUGGAUACAUAAAUCUAGGGGCCACCUAGCUAGUUCUAAUAAGACUUUGGAAGUCAAAAGCUAAAGAAGACCAGGGGACCAAGCUGGAAAUCAGGCUCUGCAAUCAGAUUCCAGAGGGAAUGCCAUUCCACCCAAUCACCUAGCCACAACGGUUCCCUUCCUUCAAGAUGCUGCAUGCCUCUUCAGGCGAAUGGAUUACCUUGUAAGAGUGACCUGAAAAAGCGUUAGCCCAGCCACACCGAGGCUUAACUGAGCCAUUUGAUUCUCACUGCCUCUCUCUGUUGCUUCCUCUUGCUUUCAACUACAGGGUCUUUCUGUUUAGGUGGUGAAAAAAAUGAUCGUUAAAAACAAUAAACCUGGGGACCUCUGAUACCAUGAGCCCAGCCAGAGAUCUGUGUCAAGCAAAUCCUUGCAGACAGUUCUGCCAGCCUGCAGAUGGCUGUUUGCCUCUCGUGGAUUUGAUAAGUGCUCAUUUAUGCCCAGAGGCCUCUGGGAGAUAGUGCUCAUGCUGAGCUUACAAACUGAAAACCAUUAUCUGUUCCUUACCUGAGACCCUGGGGAGCAGUCAGCUCACUCCCUGCCGAUGGCCUAAGAUAGGUACUGAUGUUACAGUUGAGGAAUAUCUAGGAGUAACAAACUUAAGUAGCUGGAAUAUGCCAAUUUUGACAAUUUGACAACAUCAUUAUAAACAUUCUGAAGUACUUACAAGUCUUUUUUUUUUUUUUUUUUUUUUUUGGGAGACAGAGUCUUACUUACUCUGUCACAGACUAAAGUGCAGUGGCGUGAUCUCGGCUCACUACAACCUUUGCCUUCUAGAUUCAAGCGAUUUUCCUGCCUCAGCCUCCCGAGUAGCUGAGAUUACAGUCACACACUAAGGUGCCCGGCUAAUUUUUGUAUUUUCAGUGGAGAAGGGGUUUCACCACGUUGGUCAGGCUGGUCUGGAACUCCUGACCUCAGGUGAUCUGCCUGCCUCAGCCUCCCAAAGUGUUGGGAUUACAGGCAUGAGCCACCGUGCCUGGCCAUGCAAUACUUAGAGUCACAGAAGUUUAUGGUUAGAUAAUUCUCACAGAGGUGACCUGGUUCAGCUCUACCAUCAAGGUCAUUGAGACACUGGCACCUUGCCCAAGGUCAUGCCAACCUGGGAUUAGGCGUUUCCUGCCCGAUGCCCUUUCCCCACUUUCCACACCUAUUGUUCAUACUAAUUUAUUGCAGGUCUUAUUUCUACAGCCUCCUUUAAUUGCUUUAUGUUCACGGGACACUGUCUUCAGGAUAAGAUUGCAAGUAUUUUUUUAUAUUACUUCCUCUUGUCCCUGAUACUGUAGGGUUUCAAGCUGAAACCAGUCAAAAAGGACUUCAUGCUGAGUAACUUUUGCCCAGGCAGCAGGGCUGAGGAGCUGGGGACGAAGGAGAGACCCUGGCUGUAUUCUUUCUGAUAGGUGUUACACAUCAGGCUUGAGUUAAUUUGGUCAGGUUCAAUAAUGUGCUGCAGUUACUCUGUAAACACUUAGAAUCGUGGAGUGUCAGGUCUGGAAGGAGAUUUAAAGACAACCUGGUCUUAUGGUUCUCUAACUGUGCUCCAAGGAACCCUAGGGGCUCCUGUGUGUGGGGGUCGGGGUGUGCCUUCUGGUCAGCCUCUAAGAGCAGGUGGGCUGGAGAGCUGAGCUGACUUAGGCCUAAGCACUGGCCCCUUUUCUUGAAAUAUUUUAUUUAAUGGGGCUGUAUCAGAUUUCUUACAAACAAAGGGCUUGGAUGAUAGACCAUGGUCGACAGCUAUGAAUCUAGUCCAGCUCUUUCAUUUUCACUGUGAGCAAAUGAGGCUUGGAAUGAGGGAAGAGGGACUAGACCACUGCGUGCAGAGCUGCACACAUAGCUAGUGACAGGAGCCAGGAUGGAAACUCUUUGCAGAUGCCCCCUCGAUACCUUGCAGAGAUGGCCUGGUCCCUCUAAGAAGCUAUGUUUUUGGCUUGAUGGAGAGAUUGAACUACAGAAACCAACUCUCUAUGGUGGCUGCUCAUCUGGGAAAAGAAAGGGACAAAAUCUACACUUACUGAGUGACUACUGUGUCACAGGCAUGGAAAAUACAUUCACUCAUUCAGAGCAGGUGUGUGGAGCACCUCCUGCAUAGCAGAUGCUGCCCUGCCUGUCAUGGGUACUCUUUAAGCCUCACAAGCCUGCAGGGGAAGCUAUCACGUGCUCCAGAGCUGAAGGCUCUCAGGGUUAUGCAGCUGGCUCAUCAGUGGCAGACCCACAUCUGAACUGACACCCUUUGAACUCCAAAUCUGCUGUGCCACAUCACAUCCUAAUAUGCUUUUUUUUUUUUUUUUUUUUUUUUUUUGAGACGGAGUCUCGCUCUGUCGCCCAGGCUGGAGUGCAGUGGCGCGAUCUCGGCUCACUGCAAGCUCCGCCUCCCGGGUUCACGCCAUUCUCCUGCCUCAGCCUCCCGAGUAGCUGGGACUACAGGCGCCCGCUACCACGCCCGGCUAAUUUUUUUUGUAUUUUUAGUAGAGACGGGGUUUCACUGUGUUAGCCAGGAUGGUCUCGAUCUCCUGACCUCGUGAUCCGCCCGCCUCGGCCUCCCAAAGUGCUGGGAUUACAGGCGUGAGCCACCGCGCCCGGCCCCUAAUAUGCUUUUAAUUUUUUUUUAAAUGUCUCCAGAAGUCAGCGGGUGUCAACUGCAUACGAGCUUCCCAAAGACUCAAAACUCAGUUUAAAAAAAAAAUGUGAGUUUCCCUUUAUCUGUUCAGAAAAGAGCGUGGUGGGGGUGGGCGGCCCUCAGUGCCUGUUCUCCUGGGGAGAUGGUCUUCGGUAAGUGGAGCUCCCUUAGAGUCCUAAUCUGUCUCCUGAUUUGGGCUUUCACGAUUGACACACAUGCAGCUUUAGCCUUGUCUCCUGCUCACAGGGAAAAUUCUGCUCAUCUUGCUGCUCAGCUGCAGGGUGGUUCUGGGAGCAGCUGUCCCUCGGGGAGAUGGGUGAGGCCGUAUGAAUGCCAGCGAUGGAGAGAUAGCGAACUGUGUGGUGGAGGGAGAAACUGUUAACGUGCAGGAGGGCGCCGCCUUCAGUGGUGCAAGAAGUUUUCAACUGUCCUUGUCUUUCAAAAGACACUGUCUCAACAGAGUGUCAGCAACUUCUGAAGCCAUUUCAGGCUGUAUUUGUUAAUGACAUUUUAGAAUUCUUCCUGGGUGGGCUCUGCCCAGCUUCUGGUGGUUUAAAUAUUAGAAAUCAGACUGAUGUUGGUGCUGGGAGGAGAAGGAAUUAUGGAAAGACAACAUGAAGGGAAGUUCAGGAUUUGUGGCAAGUCUUGCCCAGGGAUUUGAGGCAAGCUGUGUAGGAUCUGGUUCAAUCGUUCUGUCUCAUACGGGGGAUAUGAUGGCUACCAUUCCUUGGAAUAUAUGCAUUUUCAGCAUUAGUACCCAGGAUUUUUUUUCCCCUGCUCUUAGAGUGUGUUGUUAAAAGUUAGUCGUAGUGAUGGUUUUAUUUUAAAAAUUCAAGGUUUUUUUUGUAGAGAUGAGGUCUCCUUAUGAUGCCCAGGCUGGUCUUGUCCUGGGCUCAAGCAGUCUUCCCACCUCAGCCUCCCAAAGUGCUGGAACUACAGGUGUGAGCCACUGCACCCAGCUUCGUUUUUAUGUUAUUAAUUGAAGAGUAUAUUUUCCCCCCACUAAAGUGGUAAUUUUCCAGACUACCUUUAAAGAAGAAUAAAACACCUUCCUCUUCCAGGCAGCUAAAUCUAAAUCUUGUAUUCUCUUUUAAAGCAACUCCUUAGCCAAAGACGUGGCAACUGCGGGUGAAGUAUCUCUGGGCAGGAAAUCAAUGCAGAAAUGCAACUGGGGAGAGGGGGCUUGGGGGCCAGUUCCAGGGAGAUUGGAACUGCUGUGUUCUCAUCAGCAGAAGUGGCCCCUGCCCACCCCCAUCCUAAUCCCUUCUCAUGUGGGAGAAGGUCUGUGAGCCCUCUCCCUACCAGGCAGGUUCUAUGGCAAUGUGGGCACAUACCCUGGGGCAGGGGCCGAGGGACUUAACUCACUUCAUGAGCGCCAAUGGAGGAGCGAAGGGAAUGCCUGAUGAAAACAACAUUCUACCAGUAUGCACUGUUUUCUAACCUACAGAGUGCCUCUGUGUUCACUGUCCCAUUUGAGAAUUCUAAGUAGAAUUCUGAACAGGCUGGAGCAGAUUGCCCACCCCAAGGGACAGAUGUUGGCUGGUACUGUUGGUAUUCAUGGAAGAUUCCUUCUGACACUCCCUCCUUCUUUGUAAUUGCCAUGAACUGGAGCACUGGGCCAAUAUAAAUCAUCCAAGGGUGAACACGCUGCACAUGGACGGCUCCUCUUUGUUUUUGAAGGGAUUCCAUCUCUAUUUUGCCAUGUGCUCCUUCACCCCACUCCCCACCCCCGUCUUUCAUUUCUUUCUCUGGAAAAGAUACUUCAACUCACAGGACUGCGAUGUUGAAACGGACACCCAAGAGCAUCACAGAUGGGCCAGGCCUGGACCUCUCGGGACAACAUUCCUCACGACUUUUAGAUAGAAGAGAUUAGAGAUUUGGGACUGGUGGCAACUGGUAACGUUUUCAGUGUUUGGUAAACAGCCAGGGUCCGGAGCUCUGGGAACAGCCUGAUUUAGCUCUUUGUUUAAGUUUUGUGUUAGAGGCUCCCAAGAAGCUGAUGCAGGGGAAAGAAAUUAACAACCAUGGCUCAUUCACAGCCAGGCAGCCAAAUGGACAGCUCUAUAAGACUCAAGCCGACAGCGGAGAGAGUGCAACCAAACAGCCUUGGCCCAGCUUUCAGAGGAGAACGUUAUUCACCCCAACUGCUCUGCAUCUGCCUGGAUGUCUGCCAAGAUCUGUGAGCAUUACAGCGUUGGUAUGCUUUGGGUGAGGCCUGUGGCUAUGGCAACAAGUUGGGAGCAACCCGGUCCCUGGGAAUGAGAACAGUGUCUAAAAUCAGGCAGGCGAGGGGCAGGGAGGAGAGGUAAAGGUUGGACUUGCCUGAAGAUGGAGCCGUUUUAUUGUUGUGGGUAAAGCUGCUACCAUUAGGGGCUGUUUACAGAGUGGGUGCAGCUCAAGCUGGGAGCAUGUUAGACUCAGCGACUACGAUCAACCUAUUGACUUGUUCCCAUGAGACAGAGUAAAUUAACUGUUGCAGUACUGGUCAUGUACCACCAACCUCCUGUGAACCAGCCCUCAGUGAAACAUUUAUGUGAAAGGCCAUGGUGUUCCCAUAAGAGGGUGCAUGUUCUCUCCCUUGACUAACUCUUCAGUAUGCCUCAUUCUCACGCGCUGGUGUGCAGGAAGGAGUCCAACAUGCCCCAUUGACAGUCAUGCCCUGUAUGUGGAAAGUCUUCAGGUAGAGCACUGGGCUCAGGUUUGAAGAUGUGAGUUCUAAUCCUAGCAAGGCCAUUACCUCCCAGUGACCUCAUGUCUCGAUUUCCUCAACCACAAAACAAAGGCAUUGGUGAGCUGACCUCUAAGGCCUCUCCAGUUCUCACCUUCUGUGUCUCUACAGACUGGAGACUAGAAGAUUAUGGGCACUUUUAUUGAGUCUUCAUUUUGUUUCCAUUUCUUUGUAGUCAUCAGCUGGAGUUGAGGACAAGUUUUAACAAUAGAUAGGUUUCUUUUUGUCUCUUUUUAAAAAAUUUUAUUUAAAAUAAAUGCCAAGUGUAGUGGCUCAUACCUGUAAUCCCAGCACUUUGGGGAGGCCAAGGUGGGAGGAUUGCUUUUGAGUUUGAGACCAGCCUGGGCAACGUGGUGAGACCCUGUUUGUACAAAAAAUUUUAAAUUAGCCAGGCAUGGUGGCGUGUGCCUAUAGUCCUAGCUACUCUGGAGGUAGAGGCAGGAGGAUCCCUUGAACCUGGGAGGUUGAGGCCACAGUGAGCUGUGAUUGUGCUAUUGAACUCUAGCCUGGGCAACAGAGCAAGACCCUGUCUCUUAAAAAAGACUAUUUUUUAAGAACACUUUUAGGUUCACAGCGAAAUUUGGAGGAAACUUGGCAUAUGUCAUAUGCCCCCUGCUCCCAUGCAUGCACAGCCUCUACCAUUAGCAAUGUCCCCACUCAAAUGGUACCUUUGUUGUAAUCAACAACCCUGUACUGACACAUCAUCAUCACCCAAACUCCAUAGUUCACAUUAGGUUUCACUCUUGGUGUGGUGUACAUUCCAUGGGCUUGAACAACUGUAUAAUGACAUUAUCCACCACUGCAGGAUCAUACAGAGUAGUCUCACUGCCCUAAAACUACUCUGUGCUCCACCUGUUUGUCCCUUCUUUCACUCUAAACUCCUGGCAACAACUGACCUUUUUACUGCCUCGAUAGCUUUGCCUUCUUCGGAAUGUCAUGUAGUUGAAAUCAUACAUCAUGAAGCCUUUUCAGAUUGGCUUCAUAUAGGUUUCCUUCCUUCCUUCCUCCCACCACCUUCCUUUCUUUCUGUAUUCCUAACUCUUGGAUGUAUUUUCCCCAGCAUCAUGACUUGAUGGGACUUUUGCUAAGAUAGGCAAUCAUAGAAAGUCAUAAAUCUCUUGUCAGCCUUAUUGGCUCACCUCCGAGAUGGUUCCAACACUCUUUAAGGCCCACUUUUCCAAUCCACAGAUUCCCCAGCAGAAGUCCAAGCUGCUGAGCCUCACAUCAUCUUUUGCACUAGUAAUCUUUACCACUACUUCACUGUAGCAUUUGAAAAUUUUCAUAUGAAGCCAUAGUUCUGUGUCUUUUUUUUUUUUUUUUUUUUUUUGGAGACGGAGUCUUAACCUGUUGCCCAGGCUGGAGUGCAGUGGCACAGUCUUAGCUCACUGCAAGCUCCGCCUCACGGGUUCAAGUGAUUCUUGCCUCAGCCUCCCAAGUAGCUGGGAUUACAGGCGCGCCACCAUGCCCAGCUAAAUUUGUUGGCAUUUUUAGUAGAGAUGGGGUUUCACCAUGUUGGCCAGGCUGGUCUCAAACUCCUUACCUCAGGUGAUCUGCCUGCCUCAGCCUCCCAAAGUGCUGGGAUUAAAGGUGUGAGCCACCGCACCUGGCCUGAAGCCAUAGUUCUUAACCUCAGUUGUGCAAUAGAAUUAUCUGGGGAAUUUAAAAAUUAGAAAAAACCCAUGCCCUGAAGAUUGUGAUCUAACUGGUCUUGCGUAGCGCCUGGGCAUUGGUAUUUUUUAAAUGUUUCCCAACUGAUACUAAUGUGGCCAUUCUGCAAGCCACAGUUGAAAGGCUUAUUCAAGCAUCCUGUUGCUGAAUGCAUGUCGUCCUUACCACAUGACUCUGGAGGUUUUCUUGUAUUCUGAUGUGGCUGCCCUGUUGAGGCCUGCCCCUUAGAGUGGAGAUUAUCCCCUGCAGUAGGCUGCCUGGAAUAUGAUCCCCAGUGAUCCCUGCUUCCUGGUAUUCAGGCCCUGGUGUGAUCCCUUUCCCUUGAAGCCUGGGCUGGAUUAGUGACUUGCUUCUAACCAACAGCAUAUGGCAAAAAUAAAUGUUUAUUGUUUUAAACCUCUGUUUUAGGGUCAUUUAUUACACAGCAAAGAUAACGAAUAUACUUUCUGAAAGAAGGGGAGGCUCUUUAGACAGGAACAUGUUCCUGUGGGAGCCACACCUUAUGUUGAUUUUGAAGAAUGGAGGGUCUAAUAAUGUGUCCCCAGGGGAAGUGAUAGGGGGGCCCAGACUGCUUGGGGCUGGAAAGGCAGGUGACAAAUAAGCAGACUCUUGGCUGGCUAGACUGGUGCUUCUGCUAUGCGCACAUACGUAGGAGAGCCUGGGCAGUCCUGCUAAACUGUGGAUUCUGGUUCAGCAGAUCUGGGUUAGUGUCCAGGAAUUCUACAAACUCCCAGGGGGUGCUGAUGCUGCUGGUCUGGGGACCAUAUUUUAGGGGACAAGGAACUGUUCUAAUUGAAUUCAUGUUCCUCUCUGCUUGCUUCCUUUUUUAAAUACAGCAGUCUUCUUUCCACCAAUGACCCCUCGCGCUGCUUCCAGAAGCCAAGAAAGUGGGCUUUGUCCUUGGGGAUUUAGGAGGCGGAGCGGCGCCCCCUUGAGGCCACAUGGUGGAGGCAGCGAUGAGACCUGGAGUCUAAAAUUCAGACUGAAUCACAGGAAGAAGCUAUUUACACAAGUCAAACAUGGUCCAAUCUUGGCAAUUUCAUAAGGUUCCAAUCCUUAAGGGAUCAAAACCUGGCCAACUGCUUCCACCGAGAGGUGUGCCUUUCAAUGCCAGGCUUGGAGUGUCCCUCUUUAUUUAAAAAGGAGAGGAUUCCACAGCAGAGCUUCUCAAACUCUUCCACCCAAAUCCCCUCACCACAGAGGGACAGGAGUCCUGGGCAUGUAGCCUAAAGCAGCCAGGAGAAAAAAACCUUGACCUUAAUUUUUUUAAUGAUUUCACAUGAAUCAGUGGAAUGUGUUUAUGAUAAAAUCAUCUCCUCCUGAAAUACAUGUGUAAAACUGCUGCCCCAGUUAAACGCACUUAGUCUAACCAAGCCCUAGGAUUGGCCUCUCCAGCAUGAGAAGCAUUUCCAGCACUCCAGCUCCCCAGCUCCCACUCUGGGAUCCCACCUCAGACCCUCCCACUUCCUUGCACUCUGGCCUCUCGCUCUUGACCCUGCUCCCGCCACGCUCUUUCCUCAGAGUCCAUCAGUCCUGUCUUGUCUUCACCUUGGUCUCUGCCAAGUGUGGGUCCAAGUCAUAUAUUUGGGCUGUGAUCACAGGAACCCCAAGCCCCAGACCUCCCAAAGCACCCUAUGGAGAGACCUUACCCUCCUGGACAGACCCUCUCCCCCCAGCUAGACCUCAUCCUCUGGGUAGACCCAUCUCCCCAACCAGAACUCACCCUCCUGAGUAAACCCCAUCCCCCUAGCUAGACUUCAUCCUCCUGGACAGAUCCCAUCCCCCCAGCUAGACCUCACCCUCUUGGGUAGAUGCAUCUCCCCAACCAGAACUCUCCUGGGUAGACCCCUUCUACCCAGCUAGACCUGAUCCUCUGGACAGACCCCAUCAUCCCAGCUAGACUUCUCCCUCCUGGACUGUCCCCAUCCCCCCUCCAGCCAGACCUCACCCCUCUGGGUAGACCCCAUCCCCCCAACUAGACCUCACCCUCCUGGAUGGACUCUACCCUCCUGGAGAUACCUUCCCCUCCUGGGUACAUCCCACGUGGCUACACACUCCUUCCCCUGUCAGCUUUCUCCCCCAGGGUUCUGGGCAGCAGAGUCUGUGAUAAAGGAUACUAAGUGAUUCCCCAAUACUUCCCGUUUCCAGCCUCCAGUGGGCUCUCCCUGGGGCUAACGGUUCUUUUUGCUAUUUCUCCAGGCUUUGCCUGAUGACAAGUAUACUCUGAGAGUGUCCUAAUGAUACAGAUUUUGGACCCUAUCCCAGUUCUACUGAAUCCAAGUCUCUGGGGGAGGAGUUGGGGCUCUGCAUCUGGACACCUUCCUGCAGGGUCCCUCCUGGGAGGCAAGCCCGGGGAGCACCGCUGAGGCUCGCCUCAGUGCCCAUCCUAGACCUUCAGCAGCUAGCAGAGGAUGUCCCCACCAUCCCUCAGCCCACACUCCCACUGUCGCCCCAGCCAGGCUUGGCACUGCCUCCUUUCUCAGAAGAUUAAGACCAUCUGCUGUUUCCCAAGUUUCCCACCCUCCACCCUAAAAAUUUCUCCGUUUCCCAGUCUUUCCUCGUCUCUCAGAAAAUAAACAUCUUCCCAGGCUGCCUCCCCAGUGGGUCUGCACUCCUUGCUGUCUUCCCAGCACCUGCCCUUCCAGCCCGCCCUCUGUGUGUCCAGUGUUUCCCUCACCAAAGGACUCGCUUUGUUUUUCAAAUUGGAGGUUUUGUCUUCUCCCUAAAAACCAAAACAUCUCCCUGAGAAGUAACUCCCUCAAGCUACUGAUACGGAAGGGGGGCGGGGAAGUGCUGGGAAGGGAAGGGUGUGGUCCCUGGCUAGGGCUCCACCCCCGGGCCUGUGCCCACAGACCUAGGUGAGGACAGGCAUUUCUGUUUUCGUGCUUAAAUGUUGGAUUUCCCAAGACUACCCUGGCCUACCACACCCUCAUUCUGUGCCUGUAAAAAAACCUGAGAGCUUAGCAGGCACGCACACAAGCCUCUGGACGUCAAGAGGAACACACCGGUGUAAGAGCAGACUGAUAGUGGCCCACGGCAGGCUGGCAGGCCAUCGACAGGCAGAACCACUCAGUGCAGCUGGAGGACAGCCUGGCCACGGAGCGGUCCGACUUCAGAGGGGAAAACCACCUCCCCACUCCGUCUCCCUUCUGGCUCCCCCAUCUGAGAGCUACUUCCACUCAAUAAAACCUUGCACUCA